UGAACGCUGGCGGCGUGCCUAAUACAUGCAAAUCGAGCGACCGGACGAGAAGCUUGCUUCUCUGAUGUUAGCGGCGGACGGGUGAGUAACACGUGGAUAACCUACCUAUAAGACUGGGAUAACUUCGGGAAGCCGGAGCUAAUACCGGAUAAUAUUUUGAACCGCAUGGUUCAAAAGUGAAAGACGGUCUUGCUGUCACUUAUAGAUGGAUCCGCGCUGCAUUAGCUAGUUGGUAAGGUAACGGCUUACCAAGGCAACGAUGCAUAGCCGACCUGAGAGGGUGAUCGGCCACACUGGAACUGAGACACGGUCCAGACUCCUACGGGAGGCAGCAGUAGGGAAUCUUCCGCAAUGGGCGAAAGCCUGACGGAGCAACGCCGCGUGAGUGAUGAAGGUCUUCGGAUCGUAAAACUCUGUUAUUAGGGAAGAACAUAUGUGUAAGUAACUGUGCACAUCUUGACGGUACCUAAUCAGAAAGCCACGGCUAACUACGUG
rnacentral:rRNA from 1 species